UACGUAGGAGACGAGCGUUGUCCGGAGUUACUGGGCGUAAAGGGUGCGCAGGUGGUUGUGCGCGUGGGGGGGGAAAUCGCCCGGCUUAACUGGGCGGGGGCCUUCCAGACGGCAUGACUUGAGCAGCGGAGGGGGACGUGGAAUUCCGGGUGGAGCGGUGAAAUGCGCAGAUAUCAGGAAGAACACCCGUGGCUAAGGCGGCUCUCUAGUACGGUACUGACGCUGAGACGCGAAAGCGUGGGGAGCGAACAGG
rnacentral:rRNA from 1 species